rfam:Camelus ferus unplaced genomic scaffold scaffold856, whole genome shotgun sequence.
AGAGAUAUAGCUCAGCAUAGGGUGCAUGCUUGGUGUGCAUGAGGUCCUGGGUUCAAUCCCCAGCACCUCCA